AGAGUUUGAUCCUGGCUCAGGACGAACGCUGGCGGCGUGCUUAACACAUGCAAGUCGAACGGAAAGGCCCUGCUUGCAGGGUACUCGAGUGGCGAACGGGUGAGUAACACGUGGGUGAUCUGCCCUGCACUUCGGGAUAAGCUUGGGAAACUGGGUCUAAUACCGGAUAGGACCGCACUUUAGUGUGUGUGGUGGAAAGUUUUUUCGGUGUAGGAUGAGCUCGCGGCCUAUCAGCUUGUUGGUGGGGUAAUGGCCUACCAAGGCGGCGACGGGUAGCCGGCCUGAGAGGGUGUACGGCCACAUUGGGACUGAGAUACGGCCCAGACUCCUACGGGAGGCAGCAGUGGGGAAUAUUGCACAAUGGGCGGAAGCCUGAUGCAGCAACGCCGCGUGCGGGAUGACGGCCUUCGGGUUGUAAACCGCUUUCGCCUGUGACGAAGCGUGAGUGACGGUAAUGGGUAAAGAAGCACCGGCUAACUACGUGCCAGCAGCCGCGGUGAUACGUAGGGUGCGAGCGUUGUCCGGAUUUAUUGGGCGUAAAGGGCUCGUAGGUGGUUGAUCGCGUCGGAAGUGUAAUCUUGGGGCUUAACCCUGAGCGUGCUUUCGAUACGGGUUGACUUGAGGAAGGUAGGGGAGAAUGGAAUUCCUGGUGGAGCGGUGGAAUGCGCAGAUAUCAGGAGGAACACCAGUGGCGAAGGCGGUUCUCUGGGCCUUUCCUGACGCUGAGGAGCGAAAGCGUGGGGAGCGAACAGGCUUAGAUACCCUGGUAGUCCACGCUGUAAACGGUGGGUACUAGGUGUGGGGUCCAUUCCACGGGUUCCGUGCCGUAGCUAACGCUUUAAGUACCCCGCCUGGGGAGUACGGCCGCAAGGCUAAAACUCAAAGGAAUUGACGGGGCCCCGCACAAGCGGCGGAGCAUGCGGAUUAAUUCGAUGCAACGCGUAGAACCUUACCUGGGUUUGACAUGGAUCGGGAGUGCUCAGAGAUGGGUGUGCCUCUUUUGGGGUCGGUUCACAGGUGGUGCAUGGCUGUCGUCAGCUCGUGUCGUGAGAUGUUGGGUUAAGUCCCGCAACG
rnacentral:rRNA from 1 species